rnacentral:lncRNA from 1 species
AGAUAAACCAGUGACAUGGUUGUCGUUUUCAUAGGGACAUCAACAGUUCAAAUGAAAAGAAAAAUCUAAACUGUUAGUUAACAGAGCCAAACCCCCUUUUGAUAAAAAAAAAAAGAUAUUGCGGAGACAGGAUUUGAACUUGUGACCUCAUCCCCAAAUGAAAAUGCAAAAUGACAAUGAAUCUGUAACUGAAAUCAGAACCGGCAAAAAGUAGGCUUGCACAUCAGCCAAAAGCAUGAAUUCUUGCCUGUUUUUCCUCACCCCCAGCAACAAAAUCAUGACCAGAAAGCAAGAAUAUCUCUCUUAAAUUUGAAUCGAAAUUGUUGGUAACACAAAACAUUGAUGAUAAAGAAAUGACAAAGAUAAAAUGGCUGGAUUUGGUGUUAUUUGGGGCAGUUCUGGUUGCUGUUUCUUCAAGUGAAGUAGGCAUGGCAGAUCCACAGUUUAGUGCAAUGUUUGUAUUUGGUGAUUCGUUAAUCGAUCCAGGAAAUAACAACUACUUGAAUUCCUUAGCAAAAGCCAAUUAUGUACCUUAUGGGGUGGAUUUCAGUGAAGGGCCUUCUGGUAGAUUCUCCAAUGGAAAAACAAUAAUAGACUACUUAGGUAACUAUGAUUUUUUACUUUGUUAAUUGCUAAUAUUAUUAGCCUUCAGUUAUGUGUUUUCCAAAUGCUACAUUAAAACUUAUUUCUCUUGAGAUCAAGAAAAGGCCGAAUCUUCUAAUGCUAAGUUAAAACUUAUUUAUCUUUGAGUUCGAAGAAAAGGCCAAAUUUUUUUUGAGUUCAUCAACUAUCUCUACACCUGAAUCAAAUUGUUCUAGUUAUCUAGAACAAUGAGGAGAUUCUAUAGAAGAAAUACAGGGUCUGCUUUGAUGACUGUGUGAUUUACUUGUGAAUUUGUAGGAGACUUGUUGGAAAUUCCCGCUUUACCAGCUU